GAUGAACGCUGGCGGCGUGCUUAACACAUGCAAGUCGAACGAGGUCCAUGGAGCUUGCUCCGGAAGACCUAGUGGCGAACGGGUGCGUAACACGUGAGAAACCUGCCCCGAUCUCUGGGAUAACAGUUGGAAACGACUGCUAAUACCGGAUGCCGUCACACCGCUUCAUGGCGGAGUGCCGAAAGAUUUAUCGGAUCGGGAGGGUCUCGCGGCCUAUCAGCUAGUUGGAGAGGUAACGGCUCACCAAGGCAUCGACGGGUAGCUGGUCUGAGAGGAUGAUCAGCCACACUGGGACUGAGACACGGCCCAGACUCCUGCGGGAGGCAGCAGUGGGGAAUCUUGCACAAUGGGCGAAAGCCUGAUGCAGCAACGCCGCGUGCGGGAAGAAGGCCCUAGGGUUGUAAACCGCUUUCAGUAGGGAAGAAAAUGACGGUACCUACAGAAGAAGGUGCGGCCAACUACGUGCCAGCCGCCGCCGUAAGAC
rnacentral:rRNA from 1 species